UAGCUGACCUUGAUGCUGUGUUUGUCAUUGAAAGCAUUUGACAACGUGGCUGAAAACAUCAUGCUAAAAAGCAUGGCAACAAACACAUAGCCUUGUUUAACUCCAUUGGUGACUGGGAAAGCAUAAGAGCAUUGUCCAUUAUCCAGAACAAGGGUGUGAAGCCACCUUGGACUGACAUAUUGUUCUAAGACAGUGCAGGUAAACUUGUACCCCUGCUCUGUAUGUGUACUGCAGCCAUCUGUUGGGAACAAAUCUCUGUGUGAUUUGCUUGACUGUAGGUGGAGGUGGCAAAGAGCACCCCUAGUAUGUAGGUGUAUUGUCCAUGUUUUUAAUUUUGUGAAGUACUCAGACAUGAAGGAAAAGAAGAUGUGUCCCUUUGCAGGUAAUUAAACCUCAUUAAAACA